rnacentral:rRNA from 1 species
UCCUCCCUCUGGCGGCGUGCUUAACACAUGCAAGUCGAACGCUGAAGCUCAGCUUUUGUUGGGUGGAUGAGUGGCGAACGGGUGAGUAACACGUGAGUAACCUGCCCCCUUCUUUGGGAUAACGCCCGGAAACGGGUGCUAAUACUGGAUAUUCACUGGUCUUCGCAUGGGGGUUGGUGGAAAGGGUUUUUCUGGUGGGGGAUGGGCUCGCGGCCUAUCAGCUUGUUGGUGGGGUGAUGGCCUACCAAGGCUUUGACGGGUAGCCGGCCUGAGAGGGUGACCGGUCACAUUGGGACUGAGAUACGGCCCAGACUCCUACGGGAGGCAGCAGUGGGGAAUAUUGCACAAUGGGAGCAAGCCUGAUGCAGCGACGCCGCGGGAGGGGUGGAGGCCUUCGGGUUGUGAACCUCUUUCGCUCAUGGUCAAGCCGCAACAAUGGUUGUGGUGAGGGUAGUGGGUAAAGAAGCGCCGGCUAACUACGUG